GACAUUUGACAACACCUUGCCCAACCUUGACGUCGUUAAAGCGUGGUUGAAGUUGAGCCAGACUCUGACAGUUGGGAAUGCUAAAACUCUGACAUUGUUCGAAAUCUUUGUAGGAUAAUUGCUUCUCGGUUAUUUCCACUGGCUGCUUGAAAAAAAACUCCCCGUUUACGAGUUCAUGGAUGAAGUUUGCCAUACUUUAUGCAUGAUCAGCUGUAUUUGAAGCAGAUUUCAAGUCAUGCAAGCACUACCAGUUAGAGGAAAGCCACUUCUUUAUGUUGCUGAAAGGUGCUGUUGAUUUGUUCCUUUAAGAAGAUUGAUAGUAACUUGCAUUCAAUUUUUUCACUUAAAUUGUGUUUGAAAUUGGUUUACUUUAUUAAGUUGAAAGUUUGUUUUGAUGUCCGAAGACAUUGUGACAGCCCUUAACACAACAAGAGAUUCAAUAUUAUGAAAUGAAAGAUGAAAAUUGUAUAGCAGUUAGCGGCUGUAAUUUGAGUCAGCAUUCUCAGCAACAUAACCAAAAGAUUGUGGCGACAGUAUUUUUAUCAUGAAUGAAUGAGUAACGAAAUAUACAAAAUAAAAGUGAUACUAGAAUUA